CACAUCUCAGGGACCACAGCCAGCUGGGGGUGCUUCCGGAGAAGAUGACUCCAUGCCGUCUUACAUAAUCGCCCUAAUUGUUAUGUUUGUCGUGAUACUGGUCUUGAUUCCAUUAUUGUUGAUUUUAUGUUUCGUGACCGGCUUCUGGAGAAGGCUUGUUGAUGAGACAAC